UGCAGUCGAACGAUGAACCUCCUUCGGGAGGGGAUUAGUGGCGAACGGGUGAGUAACACGUGGGCAAUCUGCCCUGCACUCUGGGACAAGCCCUGGAAACGGGGUCUAAUACCGGAUACGAGUUUCACCGGCAUCGGUGAUUCUGGAAAGCUCCGGCGGUGCAGGAUGAGCCCGCGGCCUAUCAGCUUGUUGGUGAGGUAACGGCUCACCAAGGCGACGACGGGUAGCCGGCCUGAGAGGGCGACCGGCCACACUGGGACUGAGACACGGCCCAGACUCCUACGGGAGGCAGCAGUGGGGAAUAUUGCACAAUGGGCGAAAGCCUGAUGCAGCGACGCCGCGUGAGGGAUGACGGCCUUCGGGUUGUAAACCUCUUUCAGCAGGGAAGAAGCGAAAGUGACGGUACCUGCAGAAGAAGCGCCGGCUAACUACGUGCCAGCAGCCGCGGUAAUACGUAGGGCGCAAGCGUUGUCCGGAAUUAUUGGGCGUAAAGAGCUCGUAGGCGGCUUGUCGCGUCGGUUGUGAAAGCCCGGGGCUUAACCCCGGGUCUGCAGUCGAUACGGGCAGGCUAGAGUUCGGUAGGGGAGAUCGGAAUUCCUGGUGUAGCGGUGAAAUGCGCAGAUAUCA
rnacentral:rRNA from 1 species